rnacentral:rRNA from 1 species
UGGGCAACCUGCCCCUAGCUCCGGAAUAACCCCGGGAAACCGAGGCUAAUACCGGAUACGACCCUGCGCGUCAUCUCGCGGGGUGGAAAGUUUUUCGGCUAGGGAUGGGCCCGCGGCCUAUCAGCUUGUUGGUGGGGUAAUGGCCCACCAAGGCGACGACGGGUAGCUGGUCUGAGAGGAUGAUCAGCCACAUUGGGACUGAGACACGGCCCAGACCUCCGUACGGGAG